rnacentral:tRNA from 18 species
CGCGGGGUAGAGCAGUUUGGUAGCUCACAAGGCUCAUAACCUUGAGGUCACGGGUUCAAAUCCUGUCUCCGCAA